CAACAGGCUAGAACACCGGAGUGCCGGAGUCUCGGACUUGGAGAGCCCAACGUCGCGAUUGACGAUUGACGGUAGGGCUGAGAACGAGGUCAAAAUGCCGGAGUGCCAGCGAACUAGCUUCCACUCUUACCAGCCAGUCAUGACGAGCAGCAAGCAUUUCGUAAGUCGCUGUCUCGAGCAUCGCUGCUUACGAGACGGCAUAUCGAUAUUUGGAAUUCACCGUGCUCCACCGCUGCGAAGUGCUUAUAUGAUGCUUAUUUCAUUCACGAUGAAAGAUAAACGCCUUCAGCUUCACGUCUUAACGACGGCUUGGCCGUUGUUCCCUGACUGCUGCGCAAGGAACGAAAGGUCUAUUACAAACUCAAAGAAACACAA
rnacentral:sRNA from 2 species